GAAAUCAUCGACGAAGAUGUUACAAUGAACGACUUGGAAAACGUUCCUUUAUUUCUGUGCAUUUUCGACUUCUCGUAAGAAAUGAAUGUUAACAAUUGCGAAUGAAAAAAAUCGUAGCAGCUAGAUCUUCUUUAUGAUGAAAAAUGUGAAAAGAGCGGAGCUAAUUGGUCGGCGUAAAGCAGAAGAAAUAAGUUUGAAGCAGAAACAGGAGUUCACCAACUCGCAGCAGCACCGACGUAAUUACAGCGUUUAAAGCUACCGAAUGCUCACUGAAUUCCGCAAAGAAUACCUCGCAGCUGAAAAGUUUACCAUCCAUUGAUUUGCAACAAAAUUUCUCUCUUGUUAUUGCCGUCGGGUCAUCAAUUCUCCGGGUUGAACUUGAAGUUCAACCAUGUCUGAACGAGUCCGAGCCGUCAACUGUCUCAAACUUACGAAUCCCCGGCAUCGAGUUUAAUAAUUCAGGCUAAACUGAAACUUUUAAUGUCCCCUGGAACUUUACUUCCACCCGUACAUCUGUUUCAAGAGAAGCUGAAGAAGUUCUUGGUGGCAUCGAUCGUAGUUUAAGUCAGCCUGAAUAAAUUUGGGUAAAAUAUCGUGGCAGGAAAGAAAGUUUCGCAAUUUUGAACGUUGCAUGCAUCAAGUUUUUAACGUGAAGUAUCUUCAUACUUUUAUAUUAUCUAUAAUUCUUCGCACGCUUGACUCUUCUCAGUCUCUCGUUGCCACGAUCGAUCGUCUCCAUUUUAACACACGUUAUAUACGCAAUUUUAGGAUCGAUUUCCCGAAUUAUAAACAUUUCCAUUGGCUCCGAUCGUGGCUUGAAAAUAUUUCGACGACGCAGCAAGUGAAUCGACUCCUCCGGAGUCUCGUGGUGGCCGGCGCGCGGCCAUUGGCCGAACGAAUUCGUCAUCCGAUGGGACCGAGAGGGGCCUCUUUCGACGCAACGAAGAGAAACGAGCGAAGGAUGAUGGCUCUCGUCUUCCGUUCCUCGAGCCAGACGGCUGAUCCUCGCGAUGAACCGAACGUCGCGUCGCCGCUCCGAGAGAGAAUAUAUCCGAUAUCUUUGGAAUGGGACAUAGGUCCGAACGACGUGGCGGACAUGCCUGUACCUGUCUCCACGCAUCGAACUCUGCCUGCUCACCUGCAUUCCAUCAACCGGGGGGACCUUUCAGGAUAUCCAGGACCGUAUCGCGUCGGCGGAUCGUGAAACCGCCCCAUUCGGCGAUCGCCAUUGAUGCUCACGUUCAGUCCAUACGAGCAGACUUAAAGCAAUGCUUGAUCGUGCACCACUUGUAUUUUUUUUUUUUUUUUUUCUUUAUCAUUCCCUCGCGAGAAAGGAAUCUGAGAAGAAGUGAAAGAGAGGUGGCCGUCUGUGAGAAAACAUUGAGUAAAUAGAUGCUUCAAAAUUGAUAUACCGAAGCAGUUUAUCCCCGAGUCUGUAGAAUUAUAUCGUACGUUCAUUCGCUACGAGACAAUUUGUUUCCCCGUGAAAUUCAAAGUCAGUCGGCGGAAAAAAUUAGAUACGCCCCUAGUUGGCGAGUCGACGAGGGCGUAGGACGGUACACCGAAUCGGUUAGAAUCGGUAACGUAGUCGUACGAUGGGCGGUGAGAAGGAUACAGACGAGAGACGAAGCGAGAAGCAAAAGCAACGCUCGCUCUCGAGUACCACUUCAUUUCCCUGAUCCGCCCAAAAUCCAUUCGGAAUUCACGGUUUAAUUAUCGCUUAAGAGCAAUGAAAUUGCACGUCCGUUUCACCAAAGGUGUUUGCAUUUUAAAUAAUGACUAUUAUUUAAACACAAGGACUGUUUUAUUCUAUUAAAACAAUCAUGUUAAUACAAUCGUAUUGUCCAAAUUUGAACAACCGUUCCCUUUUUCCUGGAUCUUUGCUUUUUUUAUAGAGAGAAAUUCAAUU